rnacentral:SRP_RNA from 1 species
CCGUGCUAGGCGGGGAGCUCGUGGUGCCUUGCACCCCCAAUCCACGUACGGGGGGCCGAAUUCCCGCUCGAGGCCCGGGUCGCCGAGAGGUCGUGGCCCGCACGUGGUGUUGAAGGCCGGGUCCUGCGCAACGGGAUCUCGCGAACCGAGUCAGGUCCGGAAGGAAGCAGCUCUCAGCGUGCCCUCCCGUGUGCCGCAGGCUCGCCUGGCCGGAGCCGGCGACGGGUCUACGUCUCCGGCGCCGGGGUCGACAGCGGGUGCACGG